rnacentral:rRNA from 1 species
UACGGGGGGGGCAAGCGUUGUUCGGAAUUACUGGGCGUAAAGGGCUCGUAGGCGGCCAACUAAGUCAUACGUGAAAUCCCUCGGCUUAACCGGGGAACUGCGUCCGAUACUCUCGAGCUGGAGGCAGGUAGGGGAGAUCGGAAUUCCUGGUGUAGCGGUGAAAUGCGCAGAUAUCAGGAGGAACACCGGUGGCGAAGGCGGAUCUCUGGGCCUUGCCUGACGCUGAGGCGCGAAAGUGUGGGGAGCGAACAGG